UCGAACUUUAUAAAACUGACGGCUCAUCUGCAGUUAACCCCAUCUCACCACUGUUUUUUUGGGUUUUUGUGUGUGUGUGUGUGCGUGAGUGUGUAGAGAGAGAGUGGAUAUUGGUAAGGGCAAUUGUUGAGAAAGGGGAGAGAGAGAGAGAGGUACUCUAUGAAGUAGAAUGGGAGAGAAUUUAUGUAUAACUAUGUUUUCAUAGGAGUUUGUCAAAAAAAAUGCUAUCUUUAGAGAGAGAAUCUUGGUAAUAGCAUAGAUAAACUUAUGAGAUGAGAGGUUCUUCUUUUGGAGUGAGGUUUAGGAAAGGGGAGAUAGAAUCAAUGUCUAAGAGAUAGAAUAUAGAAGAGAGUAGGUGAGACUUAGGUUGAAGCCGAUUUCUAAAGGACUUUAAUUAUAUUUAGAGAUGAGAGCGAGAAAGAGAGAGAGAGGGAGAGGGAGGAAAGAGACAAAUUGAAAGGACGAGCCCUUGGGAUGUAAAAUGGAGAGAUUUUAGGGAAAGGGAGAAGUGAUGGGUGCAAUACAUUUGUUGGUUAGGAACUAAAGUCGAGUGCGGUAAGUUAGAAAUUUUAGUUUACAUUGGUCAUCUUUUGGGAGAUUUAAUUUGAAUCAGAAUACACACGCAUUUCCAAGUUAACUAGUAUCUAAGAAAAAUAUAUUAUCUAUUUAUUUU
rnacentral:lncRNA from 1 species